rnacentral:lncRNA from 1 species
UAUUUUGAAGAAGAACACCAUGACCUUCAUCAAAUUAAAAUAUCUUGUGUUUGUGUCCGAGUCGAACGGUGGCAGGUAAAAGAAAAGAGUAAAAAAUAAACCCUGGACAAUCUUCCUAAGACAUACGUCUGCAGGAGCCUUGAUGAUUAUAAAUAUGCUUUAUCUUUAUCAAAGUAUUAGUUCAUCAAGCCUUGUGUUCAACUCCAUAUUUAUACUGAAAUCGAGUGACAGCUGAUUGGUUGAUUGACAAAUGUCUUCACACACAAAGUGCUUCAUAUUCAAACACAGUUUAGAUUAACACUCAUAUAACUGUAUUGUUUGUGUGAGAGGAAUCAAACAAUCAAAUCCUGCGAUCGUUUACUCUUCCUCAGCCUGAACAAGUGUUUUUUUUUUCUGUUGAACACUAAAGAAGAUGAUUUUUUGAGAGCGAACCGUUGACGGCACCCAUUGACUUCUGUGCUACAGGAAGAAAUACUAUGGAAGUGAAUGGGUACCAUCAACCGUUUGGUGUUUAAAGCAUCAUCUUUUUAGCAUUCAGCAGAAGACAGAAACUCGUACAAAACAUAUAUAAUUUUUACAUUUUAUUUAAAAAAAUAAAUAUGUAAAAUAAGCACACACAGUUAAACUUUUAUUCCUAACUAAUAAUUCAUUCCCAAAGCACAACCCAUUCUCACUCCAAAGGCGUCAAAAACCGAAGCAUGGUCAAGCGCCCCUAGCGUCACUUUUAUGACGCCAAAUGUGCCUCUCGGCGUCGACUAUCGAAGCACUACGACCUUCAUUGCUUUCAGUGGGAAACUUUUGGCGUCAGAAUUCGACACGAGGACAUGAGAUGUUUAUCGCUAUGAAAUCACGUUCAAGAAGUCUCAUUCAGCACACAUCGCGCGAUACUUGCUAUCAGUUCCACAGUUUGGCUGAAAAGACGUAAAGGCAGUCAGCCCAGUGGUGUUUCUGGAGAGGGAUUCCUUCAGAAAUGGAGAAGACAGAAAGCUGCGGAGGCAGAUAUUUGCAGCAGUAAGUCUGUGAUAGUUUGUCUCUUUUAUCAAAAAUUCCUGCUGUUAUAAUUUGUACAGCAUUUGUUGUUUCUUAAACUGUUGCACUGUCCAAAUACCCACACUUGCCAUCUUUUCACUUGACCACUUGAUUACUUAUUUGACGUCUUUCCUGUAUUUGGCCUAGUGUUCGAGUGAGCAUGAUGACCACAAGUGUGUGUCAAACUUUUCAUGACCUGAUGACUGUGUUUCCCAAUCCUGAUCCUGGAGAACCCCAGCACUGCACGGUUUUGGCGUCUCUCUUAUCUGCCUUGGAGUCUUCACUGAUGAGCUGAUGAGUUGAAUCAGGUGUGUUUGAUCAGGGAGACAUCUCAAAUGUGCAGUGUUGGGGUUCUCCAGGACCAGGAUUGGGAGCCACUGCCUUAUGGGACACUUAUGUGUUUUAAAGAGAUUUUUAAUAUCUAAUUAUCAAUAUUUCACAUACUGUACAUUGGACAGCUUUCCAUGACCUCUUGUGAGAUCUCGGCAAAAAGUCUCACAUUAAUUCCAAAACAUGAUGCAUGAUGGGAUACACUAAGCUUUGUAUAGCGCUCCGGAGCAGUAUUGGAGAGGUUUAGUGUGUGUUAAGGACGCUGUGCUUUGGCAUUAUUAAGACCGGGGACAGUCUUGUGCACACACUGUCACGUACACACACUCUCAAGUGGCCAAGACUGCAAGUGUGGGUAUCUGGACAGGGUCAAAGUCUUAAAAAUGAUCCCUAAACACAUCACAGUCUUAAUAAUCCAGUUUAACACUUGUAUGAUAUUGUACAAGCCCCAGGACGGUCUCAUCUGACACUAUCAAAAGAAUUCAUAUGACUAUAGCUUGUUAUUAAUUACUUGCUUUCAAUAAUGGAUUCAUUUAACAUUUAAUUAUACAGCAUCUUUACAGAGGUGUAAUGUACAAGCUGCACGUAAUUAAUAAUAUGUCCUUCCUUCUGUCUUACAGGAUUUUUUCCAGAUAAUGCUGUUCUUCUUUUUCAGGUCUAAAAUAUCGAGCUCAACAGCUAUUUUAAGAGCCAACCCUCACAAACCUUCCCAAAAACUAAAAGAGCUAUUACUGAGUCUCAGCGAAUCUUGCCAUGAUCAGCUCUUCCCAGGUACAUUUGUUUAGAAUAUUUUUUAAUCAACAUUUACUCAUCAAAUGCUCUGGUCUGAAUCUUACUUUAAAUUAACUUAAUUAUGUUUAAUGAGCAAUAUUAAUUGCACAGAGAGUAAGUAGAGAUUUUCUUGUUUCACAGAAGAGAAGGAAGACCAAGGAAAUUAUUUGCUCAGGAUGAGGAAUGAAGAUGGCCAUUUUGUGCUCAAACAAACAGAAGUCCUCUGGUAUGUGUGUGUUGAAGCAAUGUUAUACAACAUUUUAUGAUGAUCUCUCACAGAACUGGUCAUGUCAGCCUUGAUUUCGUUUUAUACUAUUACAAUUACAGCAUGUUAGCAAAGUGUGACUGGACAUUUUUAAUAUUAUGUUUUUAAAAACACACCACCUGU